GAAAUGCGAUAAAUAAUAUAAAUUAUAGAAUUUAGUAAAUUAUCGAAUCUUUAAACGCAUAUUACGCCCCUUAGUAUUCCGUGGGGUAUACCUGUUCGAGUGUCAUCUACACCCUUAAGCUCUACUUAAUAUUGGGCGUCUAUCCCGCCUUCGCGCGUGGACUUAUUUCAAAUAUAUUAGUAGCGGUCUUUACUUUCUCCCGCGCAGUAUAUUGCGCUUCUCGAGGCUAUAGCGGCCUGCGUCCAAUAAGCUAAACCCCCCCGUCUUUAACCUCGGAUUAGGUAGGGAUACCCGCUGAACUUAAGC
rnacentral:misc_RNA from 1 species